rnacentral:rRNA from 1 species
AGCGAACGCUGGCGGCAGGCCUAACACAUGCAAGUCGAACGGAUCCUUCGGGAUUAGUGGCGGACGGGUGAGUAACACGUGGGAACGUGCCUUUUGGUUCGGAACAACUCAGGGAAACUUGAGCUAAUACCGGAUAAGCCCUUCGGGGAAGAUUAUCGCCAUUAGAGCGGCCCGCGUCUGAUUAGCUAGUUGGUGAGGUAAAGGCUCACCAAGGCUACGAUCAGUAGCUGGUCUGAGAGGAUGAUCAGCCACAUUGGGACUGAGACACGGCCCAAACUCCUACGGGAGGCAGCA